rnacentral:rRNA from 1 species
CAAUAGUGUAUACUAAAGUUGUUGCAGUUAAAAAGCUCGUAGUUGGAUUUCGGUGAGAGAUAGCGUUAGUCUAGACAAAACGUCUACGAACUGACAUAUUUCUUCCUUUUUUCCGGGUGCAAUAGUGCCCGGUUAUUUUACUUUGAGAAAAUUAGAGUGUUCAAAGCAGGCGUAACCAAGCCUUUGAAUAUAUUAGCAUGGGAUAAUGGAAUAAGACUUUUUGGCUUAUUUCGUUGGUUAAGAUGAAGCCAUAAGUAAUGAUAAAUAGGGACAGUUGGGGUCAUUAGUAUUUAAUUGUCAGAGGUGAAAUUCUAAAAUUAAUUAAAGACUAACUACUGCGAAAGCAUUUGACAAGGAUGUUUUCAUUAAC